UACGUAGGGGGCAAGCGUUGUCCGGAUUUACUGGGCGUAAAGCGCGUGUAGGCGGGUCUUUAAGUCAGGGGUGAAAUGCCAGGGCUCAACCUUGGAACUGCCUUUGAUACUGGAGACCUUGAGUCCGGGAGAGGUGAGUGGAAUUGCGAGUGUAGAGGUGAAAUUCGUAGAUAUUCGCAAGAACACCAGUGGCGAAGGCGGCUCACUGGCCCGGAACUGACGCUGAGACGCGAAAGCGUGGGGAGCAAACAGG
rnacentral:rRNA from 1 species